rnacentral:snRNA from 1 species
UUGCUUUAACUGCACAUAUACUGAAAUGAGAAUGAUACGAGAGGAGUAGCAUGCGCUCUGCAGGGAGGACACACAGGCUCAUGAAGUGUUCCAUGUUAAU